UUCAAAUAAUCAACCCACCAAAACAAAAAGAGAGGGCAUCCUUUCUCAGAGAUUUGAAAUUAACCCACCAACGCAAAGCAAACAUACCCUGCCCCUGCUAGCUUUCUCCCCAUGCCAGCUUCAUGUUCUACUUCACUAACCCAACAAAAUCCCUUCUCAGAAACACUCACCUUCUCCCAUUGCAAAACCACGAUCCUCUUUGCACCCAUUCUCUCUCGUCCCUCCAUGAAAACGCUCUAUCUCUCUGUUCUCUCCCCUUCCAUGAAAACCCAAAAAAAUCCAGCACCCCAACUUCUUUACUCAAACAAGCAACCCAAUCUCGUGAAAUGUUCGAUCCAAUUACUCAUAUGGACACCGUAUCUGCAAAUCACCUACUAUCAUCAUAUAAUAGACAAGGUCUCCAUAAACAGUCGCUCAGACUCUUCUCUCUUCGAAAGAGUUCAUCGCAACCUGUCGAUCAUGUCACACUGGCCCUUGCUCUCAAGGCAUGUUGCUCAAUUGGGCCUUUUGGGCUCAACAUUGGCCGACUAAUCCAAUCCCACGCCAUUGUUAUUGGUUUCCAAUCCCAUGUAACAGUCUGCAACUCCUUAUUGAACCUCUAUUUUAAGAGGGCACAACCCCAAGAAGCCAUUAAGAUGUUCAGGGCCAUGCCCCAGAAAGAUUUGAUCACUUAUAACACAGCCAUUGCCGGCUUUGCUCAGAACCAGAUGGAGCGAGAGGCCAUACAGGUUUUACUCCAAAUGCAAGCCUCUGAAAUGCCCAGUUUUGAUAGAGUGAGUUUUGCGAGCUCUCUUAAUGCUUGUGCGAGCCUAUCAGAGCUAAGUCUUGGGCACCAGAUCCAUGCUCUCUCAGUAAUUCAUGGCCAUGGCCAAGAAAUCUUUGUCCAAAAUGCUUUGGUUUCCAUGUAUGCUAGGUGUAACUCAAUAAGAGAAGCCAAGGAAGUGUUUAAUGGGAUUGUCUUCAAGGACCUGGUCUCUUGGAACUCCAUGAUCUCUGGUUACAACACACAGGGGGAAGAUAAUUAUGGGAAUGAAGCCAUUGAGCUUUUUGCAAACAUGGUUCAUGGCCAUGGUCCAAAGCCUGACCACAUAACAUUUGUAAGUGUUCUCUCAGCUUGUGUGGGCAAACAGAAGGUCGAACUCGGGAGGCAAUGCCAUUGCCAAAUUCUUCGAACCAACAAAGAGAAGCACGUAUCUGUAUGCAAUAAGUUGAUCUCACUAUACUCCAAGAGUGAAGCGACUCUAGGCUACGUAGAGAGGGUUUUUGAUUUCAUGGUCCACCGAAACAUAGUCUCAUGGACAUCCAUGAUCUCUCUAUACAAACACCGGGCCUUGGGCCUAUUCAAUGAGAUGAGACUACAAGGUGUUAGCCCAAACCAGGUCACAUUUGUGGCCCUCAUCCACUCAAUCUCAGACCAAGGUAUGGAGGAAUUGGGUCCACAGGCCCAUGGACUCACUGUGCGAACUAGGCUCGACCAAGAUAUCAAUGUGGCCAACAGCCUCAUAACCAUGUAUGCCAAAUUCCAGAACAUGGAUUCAUCCCAAAAAGUCUUCGAUGGCAUGAUAGAUGCUCAAGAGAUCGUUUCUUAUAAUGCCAUUAUGGCUGGUUAUGCACAAAAUGAACUAUACACGGAAGCAGUAGAAGUUUAUUUUCUCUUAGCAAGCUAUGAUAAUGUAGUUCAGUUGAGGCCAACUGAAUUCACAUUUGUAAGCGUCAUAAGCUCUUGCGCAGGGUUGUUAUCUUUAGGUCUAGGUCGCAGACUCCAUUGCCAAGUGGCCAAGCUAGGGUUUAGCUCAUGUGUUUUUGUAGGAAGUGCUUUGCUGGACAUGUAUGCCAAGUGUGGCUCGAUUGAGGAUUCAGAAAGAGUCUUCAGUGAGAUGGAUGGGAGGAGCUUGGUUACAUGGACUGGGAUGAUAUCAGGCUAUGCACAACAUGGUGAAUGCCACAAAGCCCUGUCAUUGCUUGAGGAGAUGAGAAUUGCGAGGGUAAGCCCUGACCCGGUAACCUUCUUAGCUGUACUCUCGGCUUGUGGGCGAGUGGGUAUGGUGGAUCAAGGGCUUCAAUGCUUUGAAAGCAUGGCUCUAGAGCAUGGAAUUGAGCCUCACACGAUGCACCACUCAUGCAUGGUUGACAUGUUAGGAAGGGCAGGUAGGCUUAGAGAAGCUGAGGAAGUGGUUAAGAGGAAACCGAGCAUUAGAGGUUGGCAAAGUUUAUUGGGAGCAUGUCGAAAUCAUGGAGAGGUUGAGAUGGGGAAAAGGGCAGCCGAGACAUUGAUGGCCAUGGAGCCUGAGGAUUCUGCAACUUAUGUGUUGUUAUCAAACAUGUAUGCGGCUGAAGGAAAUUGGGAGGAGGUAGCUAAGGUUAGGAGGAGGAUGAGAGAUGGCAGAGUGAGGAAAGAGGUUGCUUGUAGUUGGGUUGAUGCAGGGGAGAAGAUGCAUGGCUUCACUACUAAUGAUAUGUCACAUCCUGAAGCUAGAGAGAUAUGCAAUGUAGUAGUGGCCUUGGGUCAAGAAAUGAGGCAUUUAGAGGAUGAAUGUGAGUCUUUUUCUCUGUCUUCAUAAGUUGGUUCUAAGUUUGGAGGAUCCAUUUCUUGUAUUUUUUGGGUGAACUGGGAUUUCAAGCUUGGAUGUCGGUGUUGUAGCCAUUGAGAUAUCCCUUGUCCUACUUUCUUGCCUGGUAAUGUGAUUUAAACCCAUGUCCAUGGACUCCAAUCCAAUGAACAGGAAGGUACAUUCAACUUUACUGUGAUAGACUGCUGUCCUAGGAGCAUUCAUGUUUGAACAUCUCUAUCAUAUGAGAAAAACAGAUCUGUCUCGUUCUACAAACUAGUGGGGUUCGACAUGGGACAGCGAUGGAUUUGAGUAUUUGUGUUAGAACAUCUCUAUCAUAUGAGAAAAACAGGUUUUUCCAUUUCACAAACAAGCAGGGUUCGGUGUGGGAUAGGGGAAAAUGUGUCACUGAAGAGUUCCAGGACAAGCCUAUUAAAAGAAUAGGAUUCCUGUUUAGUUGGGUAUGGUGGGGUUCAAACUUUGGACCUUAGUGUUAGGCCAAAGGAGAUACGAAUGGCAUGGUCCUUGAUUUGAGAGCGAUGAGGCAUCUGCAGAGUGUGAGGACGGAUAAGGGGAGAGAGAAAGAUGAGUUGUUUUCAGCGUGUGAGGAUAGCUAAGGGGAGAGAGCCUGGGUGUUCAAGCUUAUAUUUGAAGCUCAGAGAAAUCAUUUAUUUAAAGGUUAAGUUGGUAUUAGAACCUUACAAACUCGUGCUGUUGUGGCCACUGUAACAAUCACUUUUAAUUAUUCAUUUCACUUGCUGUGUUCCACCGGUUGGCAACUCAAGCUCAUUUCACUUCCUACAUUCCAUAAUGUUCAAGAAACAUUUUUUUGAAUUUUGAGUCUAGUAAAUGACCCUCUUAACAAUACCCAAUUUGAAAUUUCAUAGACAAAGUAGUUAUGACCUCUUGUACCAAAACUAUAUGGUCUCUUUAGACAAAGUAGUUGCGAUGAACUCUUUCGAAGAGAGAAGAGUCUGGGUUAUUGUUCAUGGAGACCCUGUCUAUUAUAUAAUAGUAGGUGAUUUGCAGAUAUGGUGUCCAUAUGAGUAAUUGGAUCAAACAUUUCAAGAGAUUAGAUCUCGAAGACAUCUCACUUUUGUGCUUUGGAUGGGACAUUCGGAUGAAAAGUUAUGGCUUCAGAAAGCACUCUGUAUCAUACAUCCUAGGUUCAAACCUUGGUGCUGACUUAUCCCAAAAAAAGGUUGUUUUUUGACAUAGGAGGGACAUCAGAAACUUCCUUUCCAAAAUUUUCUAACAACUUCUUAGAUGGACUGGCUGAAAUUAGUAGAAAGUGUAUACUUGUUAAAUAAGUUAUCGCUCUCUGUUUUUUUUUUUGGAUAAAACAGUCUAGAUAGUAAAACUUUUCUUUGACUUCAUGGUGCAUAUAUUUUACGGAUACAUUGUAUUGUGUGGGUGGGGUACUGUUAUGAGUUCGUUGCUUUGCUAACCUUGUGGUUGCCUUUUUGUCUUUUUGCAUAUUUAAUUUGUGGUUGCAUUUGUAAUGAAAACAAGUGUACAUUAUCUGCAGAACUGUAGGUCUUUCUUGGAAAAACCUAAUGGGUGUUGUAUUGCAGUCUGCUGAAUGGUGAAACAGAGGCCUCUCUUAUUUGCUUGUGUGGUGCUUGUAUUGAUUGUAAUAUACACUUUUCCAUGUGAUAUAACUCAUCUUUCUUAACAAAUUGCAAUUCUUUCAGGUGUCUGAUAGUUUACUUCAUAAUGCCAGCAGCAACCUAGAAAGUAUUAUUUUCUGUGCUCAGACACUGAAAACUAAGCGUGCACAGAGAUUUCGAGGAACUUCCUUCUGAAGCUUUUCG